rnacentral:lncRNA from 1 species
CCAGAAGCCUAGACUUCCUGAUAACAGCAUUAAAGGUCGUAGCAAGUACCCCCGACGAGUUGGGCUUCGAAAAAAUAGCAGCUUGUAGAAUCAUAGACUGAUUAACUGAGUACUGAUUAACACAGAGGCACAGAAACAGGAUGCUAAUUUCGGUAGUCCAAAUCUCAUGAUUACGAUCACACUUGCCAAAGCGAAUAUCUCACUAAGACCUAAAAUCUAUUUUUAGCGAACAGCUCACAGAGCUCCCAGUAG